CUCACGGCUCAGUCCCUACAUAUUUAUGCCGCGUUUCCAGCCGCUGGGUGAGGAGCUACUUAGCGCCGCGGCUCCUCCGAGGGGCGGCCGGGCAGCGAGCAGCGGCCGAGCGGACGGGAUGAAGAAACGGAGGCACCAAGAUGCUGAAGCCCUUGACCGAGUCACGUGUCAGUAAAUGACAGAAUCAGGAUUUGAAUCCCAUGCCUGUGAUCCUGAACCAUGACAUUCCCCUUUAACCCUUCCUUCCAACCUCUGCGACAUCAGCUUAUAGACUGUUGAAGGUGACACCGUUCUCUUCUGUGAUUUUUAUUUCAGGGGUUAUUUGCAGAGCUCUGUUCAGUAAAGCUGACUCAGGUGGGGAUGUGUCCCGCAGUGUCGAGGUAGGGUGUCCUCCAGGGGCUUCCCAGGUGUGCUGGUGCAACACGAGAUAAAGACCAAGCCAGUUCAGGUAACCCCCAGGUAGAGUCACUAAAAAA
rnacentral:lncRNA from 1 species